GUGAGGACUCGGGAGGUGGAGGGUGGCGCUGGCAGGCCCCGGCGCCGGCUCAGCUCGCCUCCCCCCACCUCCUCUCUCCUCAG
rnacentral:pre_miRNA from 2 species